GACGAACGCUGGCGGCGUGCUUAACACAUGCAAGUCGAACGGUGACCCAUCUUCGGAUGGUGAUCAGUGGCGAACGGGUGAGUAACACGUGGGCAACCUGCCCCUAGCUCUGGGAUAACUCCUCGAAAGAGGUGCUAAUACCGGAUAUCACCUCCCUGGACAUCCAGGGUGGUUGAAAGUUUUUCGGCUAGGGAUGGGCCCGCGGCCUAUCAGCUUGUUGGUGGGGUAAUGGCCUACCAAGGCGACGACGGGUAGCCGGCCUGAGAGGGCGACCGGCCACACGGGGACUGGGACACGGCCCAGACUCCUACGGGAGGCAGCAGUAGGGAAUCUUCCGCAAUGGACGAAAGUCUGACGGAGCAACGCCGCGUGAGCGAUGAAGGCCUUCGGGUCGUAAAGCUCUGUUGUUAGGGAAGAACAAGUAUCGGAGUAACUGCCGGUACCUUGACGGUACCUAACCAGAAAGCCACGGCUAACUACGUGCCAGCAGCCGCCGUAAGAC
rnacentral:rRNA from 1 species